rnacentral:lncRNA from 1 species
AGGCUAGGUCACUAUCUAUGAUGGGCAGCGUGAUGCUGGUCUGGUCACUCUUGUGCUCUAUACUGAUCUAGAUCUAUAUCCUAUCAAGCAUCAUUCUAUCGAAGACCUCUCUGAUGAUGCCGGAGUAGCUUUUUCAAGGGUUAUUAUGGGGCUUGCAUAGAGAUGGAGGAGGGGGACUUCACCUUAUUGCCAAGAAUGUUAUUUGCCAGCC